rnacentral:rRNA from 1 species
GCCAGACUCCUACGGGAGGCAGCAGUGGGGAAUAUUGCACAAUGGGGGAAACCCUGAUGCAGCGACGCCGCGUGAAGGAAGAAGUAUUUCGGUAUGUAAACUUCUCUCAGCAGGGAAGAAAAUGACGGUACCUGACUAAGAAGCCCCGGCUAACUACGUGCCAGCAGCCGCGGUAAUACGUAGGGGGCAAGCGUUAUCCGGAUUUACUGGGUGUAAAGGGAGCGUAGGCGGUUUAGCAAGUCAGAAGUGAAAGCCCGGGGCUCAACUCCGGGACUGCUCUUGGAACUGCGCGGCUGGAGUGCAGGAGGGGCAGGCGGAAUUCCUGGUGUAGCGGUGAAAUGCGUAGAUAUCAGGAGGAACACCGGUGGCGAAGGCGGCCUGCUGGACUGCGACUGACGUUGAGGCCCGAAAGCGUGGGGAGCAAACAGGAUUAGAUCCCCGAGUA